UACGAAGGGGGCGAGCGUUGUUCGGAAUCACUGGGCGUAAAGGGCGCGCAGGCGGUCUCUCAAGUCAGAUGUGAAAGCCCCGGGCUCAACCUGGGAAUUGCAUUUGAGACUGGGAGACUUGAGGACGGGAGAGGAGAGUGGAAUUCCCAGUGUAGAGGUGAAAUUCGUAGAUAUUGGGAAGAACACCAAUGGCGAAGGCAGCUCUCUGGACCGUUACUGACGCUGAGGCGCGAAAGCGUGGGGAGCAAAC
rnacentral:rRNA from 1 species